GGGGUCUGUGGGAUUUAUUCCUACACCUAAGCAUCCCAAGGGAUGCAAUCCUUGGCCAGCCCAGGGUGGGGAAGGGACAAGGGCCUGGUGAGCUCCUGCCCUGCCCAAGGUCACCCAGGAUGUCCCAUGGACACCUUGUCAUGUCUCCUAGCAAAACAAUCCACCCUUUAAUCUCUCAGGCUGCAACACAGAAAUAGGAUUUGGAGAGCUCUUGGCAACAGUUCAGGGCUCGCUCAGGUUUUCAGUUCAGAAAUUUGGGGGUUUGAGUGGUUUUAUCCUGAUUAAGGAGGGAGCAGAUGAGGUUUCAUCAAAAGCAGGCCAGAAUUUACCUUACUGCUGAGAGCUGCAGUGGCAUUUUUACUGUAGGUCCCAUGGAAGGCUAAAACAGGUUCUGCAGGGUCCCAUUCCACCUCCACCACAGGAUUCUCACCAUGUAAGCAGAUAAACUUUGGACUGCACCCAGGGAGAGCACAAUUCCAUGUGGAUUUCCACAAAGUAAAGCCCUGCAUGUUGCUCUAGGCACAAAUGGCACAGCACUCUGAAGUAUUUUGGACUGGGAUGCAAAGGAGCUGGAUUUUGGACUGCACCCAAAGGGUCCUGGACACUGGAAGGAAUCCAAAGGGCUGAUUUCCACCACCAUGGAGUAAAUCCCUCUCCUCAGCAAUCUCCUGGCAGCUCCAGACAAGCCCUGUUAUCUCACCACGGCUUCCCACAUCCCAGCCAGUGCCUGCUUUCUGCCCCGUGCCAGCACAUCAUGUUUAGAUUUGUUUUGCAGUCCAGUUUCAUUAGGAUAUCCUUCAAAAGAUUUCACUGCAGAGCUAUGCAAAACUACACAGCAUUCCUUCCCCCUUUAGCCCCCUCAUCCCCUUCCCCACACGGAAAAUCUCUCCUUCAUUUUCAUCUGCUGCAAGUGUGGUUUCAAUUUUUAAUGGGGCUCUCUCCCUGUUUUUGAAAUGUUGGAUUUCAGGCAGCCUCUUUGCACACUCAGCUGCUAGUAUUUACUUUAACAAUUUUUGAGUCAAGUGGGAAAACCAGAAAAGUCGAUAAGAUGUAAAAAGGAUUUUAAAUUAGAUAUUAAUUGUCUGGAUUCCAAUCUGUUACAUAUGAUAUGAAAAAUAUUUAUUUUAUUAGUAAGUGGAUGUUGAGCCAAUUAAGACAACUUUUGACAGGUUGAUAUUGCAAAUCAUGGAAUGGUUUGGGUUGGAAAGACCUUAAAGCCCGUUUUGUUCCACCCCCAGGGACACCUUCCACUAUCCCAGGCUGCUCCAACCCUCUGAGUAACACAUUUUUUCCUAUUCAAGUAUAACCUAAAUCUCUCCCUUGUCCUCCAAAUACUUUGGUGCUCCAUUACUUUUUUCUUACAUGAACUUGAAGUGCCCAUGGAUCACAAAGGGGCUCCACAAUCCCUGUCUGGCUUUCAAAUGUGGCACAAAUCCCAAUUCCCACCUACGGAACAGCCACAUUUUGGAUAUAAACCUUUGCAGACCUUUAGGAAAAACACCAAACACUUCUCAGAGACACAAAUUACAAUCUCAUUUUUGAGAUUUUUCCUUUCUAGCACUGAAAAACCUCCAAAAUGACAGUCCUGGGGUUUCAGAACUAAUAAGGAAUUUUAGCUUUUUAAAAAGCAUCACUUUCCAAGCACUCAGUGAAAAGCAGUUUUUAUUUAGUUACCACUUGCACAUUAUUAAUCUGUUUAAGUCUAUCAAAGCAAUUAGCCAGGAUUCUCCUGUAUCAUCUAAUUAGAUACAAAUGUUGCAUCAUUUUUUGGGAAUGCUUUCCCAGUUUGAAAAGCAGCAUUCUCCUGACUAAUUAGAUCAGUGGUGAAUACUUUAUGAGGGCCUAUUUUUAGGCCAGUGAUUCAACAAACAAAAGUGCCUGAAGUAGGAAGGAAACCUUGAAUCCUUCAGGGUUCUUUUCCUUGGGGUGGUGUCCAGGGCCAUGGCUCAGCUCUGCACACCAUUUACUCAUGGUUUACUCAUGACAAUUAUAUAUAUAUUUAUUUAUAUAUAUAUUUAUAUAUGACAUUAUAUACUCGUGAUAUAUCUCAAAAACACAUCUCACUUGUAAAUACGGAGUAUUAAGAAUGUUUCACCACAA